AGUAUGAGAACUGGGAGAGGGAGAACUGGGAGAGGGAGAACUGGGAGAGGGAGAACUGGGAAGGGAGAACUGGGAGUAUGAGAACUGGGAAAAGGAGAACUGGGAGUAUGAACUGGGAGAAGGAGAAAUGGGAAACUGGGAGUAAGUAUGAACUGGGAAUAUGAACUGGGAGUCCUCACCAGCCGGGUUGGGAGGGCUUCCUGCCGCCCCUCCUCCUGCGGGCCAGGACGCUGAGGAUGGAGGUGACCAGGGUGUAGUAGAUCCCGG